AAAAAUUAUGACCUUUAUGCAAAACUAUAAAGUUCCAAAGGGCCUAAAACUAACAUUCGAGUAAAUAUCAUGCUCGAAUGUGGUCAGCAUUUAAGACCCAAAUCACUAAGAUAAGUAUAUCUGAAACAUGUACGAGAAAGGAAUAGCACUAAAGAAGAUCAGAAAAGAGGAAAGACUUCUGAAGUUAUUGAAAGAACUUCCUGGGCCUACAAAUGACAAUUCUUUGUACUGAAAGAUUGCCGCCAUCAAACAAAGCAUUUGAAAUGAAUUUUGUGGCAGAUUUAUGAGUGAUAGUUAUAGUGCAUCUUGAUGGACGUUGAGUUUCCCGCGGGAAGGGCCAAACAACUGCAAGUUAUAAAUUUCCCGUAAAGCAUGAAAAGCCAUGUAACAAAAGCAAGAGUGAACCUCUUAGAGAAAGAGAAACGAAAGAAAAGAAAGUUGGUAACUUUCUACAAGAGAAAAGCAAUAAAAUAAUGAACAGAAUCGACAAAAAAGUACUUUUUGUACCAGAUGAUGGCAGCCAUUUUGGCGAAGCUUCCUUGUAGGCCGAUGCUACUAAUUUGGAAUUUUCUUUCUUUCUGAGGUAUGUUUCUCUUGCUUUUCUUUUAUUGAGGACUUUGAAAACCAUAUUUGAAAUAAGGAUAGCUAGUAAGUUAAGACACCGUAUAGUAUGCGGCGAGUAUGUUCCUCUAGACAUACAUACCCUUCGUGUUUUAGGCAUUUUCAAAGAGAAGCGUUUACAGAACGGAUUAGAACUUUCAUCGGAACAAGUAUGUCUGCUUCUGUAGAAGGCUCGUUAUUGGUUCUGUCUCGAUGCUGCUUUCACUACUCAUAUUAACUUCUAGCCAUUAAUCAAUUUGUUUCAACGCGAGAUUACUUUGUAAGUUUAGAGCGGAGAAGAAGAUAGUUCCUUUAAUACUUUUUUGAAGAUUUGGAGCGUUUUCUGUGGAGAUUUCUGUCCGUUCGGCUCAUCAUCUAUCAACUUCAUGUACAAUAAUACACUAUAGAAUCUCUGAGUAAAGCUUUGAUGAGACAAAGCAGAGAGUUGCUCAGUUUUAAGCUCAAUUCAUUGUGUGUAUACAAGCUUCAUAAAGGUAAACUUGCUUAAUUCUAAUUGAGGAUGAACUAAUAGCAUUACAUUGUUUUAAGAAUUACUAAUUUAAGAUACUGAAAAAGCUGAAGGUCUGUAAGUUUAAAAAAAAGGCAUUACCUCAUUUAUCGAAGUUUUGGUUUCAGUUAUUGAUUCUUUCAAGUAUUGAAUUUAAAGCUAUUAAUCCAACUGAGUUUUAUAAGCAUUUUCUGUUAGACAGAAUUUUAAAGUACUGGAAUCCAAAUCUUGUAGAACGUAAAAACAUUAAAGUAAACCGAAAAUUGAAUGGAAAACUCACCACAAUUUAGGGUGUUAAUAAUGUAGUAAGUUACUAGCAAUUCUAAGAUCACAAGAGUGUAUUGCAAGUAUGACCCUAUCUUUCCUCUCUGCCAAAUCAGUGUCAACAGUAAAAAUUUUCUUCUUCGAGGUCAAAAAGGCUUAGUUUUCGUCGUGGACUAUGUACUCGUUAUUAAGCAGAGCUAUUGUUACUUCAUGUACUAGAUUUUGUUGCUAUUUUUUCACAUACUUCAGCUUUUAUCUUCAAGACGAUAAACCUUACUUUAACACAAAUAAUUAAUUUUCAUUGUAACUAGUGAUUUUGAGUGAAGGAGAGUAGUUUAUUUUUUUCCAAAACAAAGACUCAAGCGAGCCAAAGUAUAAAUUAUGGUGGUAAAAUGGGUUGUAAGAUCCCUCUCUCGCACACUGCAUUCGACUUUAUACUCAUUUAACUAACAAAUGGGAUUAGUAAAUCCAAUCGCAUCUUUAACUUAAUCAGUUAUAAUUGAUGGUCGGUUUGGUAGCACUGCAAGAUGCUACUGUAGUAAUCAAUAACAUUUGUUUGAAUUUCAUAUUUGUGGAAAAUUCUUACAAACUCCACUUAGUUAAACACCUCUUUCUUAGCGAGUGUCAAUAAAAAUGUAAUCCUUUUUGUCUUUUUUCUUUAUGAAGCGUUCAAUAAUCUAGCUAGGACGCCUGAAAUUGUUCUAAACGGAGUGUACAGCAUAAUACAGGGCUCAAAAUCCUUGAUAGGUGCGUUUCGAUUCAGUCGAAGAUGGAACUCUCCAAAUAUUGUACUCAUCAAGUUGCAGCACUCUCCUUUUACCGUUUUCAAAAAUAACUCCCUUGCAUAAAAAUACGAAUUCGAUCAUUGAACCCGUUGCAGCUGUAAUUUGUUUUUUUAUAUUUCUUUAUGCAAAGACUAAAUAAACGAUACGAAAAUACGUAUAGUGUUGGAAGAGACUCUGAGGAUGCUACAGGCCUUUUGAUGUCACCAACAAAGUACUGAUUGAAGUAAAAAAAUUCAGAAUUCCUCGUUUUAGUAGCUUUUUCAUAAAUAAUACUUUUCUUAUUUGUACUAGGAACUAGUGUUAAUGUCCCAGUAGUGAGAGAGGAAUACACUUUGAUAGAAACAAAGAUAGAACGAAAUUUCUAGUAAUAGUGAUGCUUGCUUUAAAAAAUCCCAAGAUGGCCGAAACAUUUACAAAACUUUACUAUAGUCUCUUCUAAAACACUGACCGAUGAAUACAAAUCCUCUCAAUAAAAUUAUUCUAGUGUAAAGACUUAAAUAAGGUUUUUUAAAUCAGAUAAUAUUUUAAGGAAAACCUGGAAUCAAACUUUUAAAAUUGCUAUCUCUACUACUCUAAAGUGUUGGGUAUUUUAUCAGCAAAGUAGCGACCUUUAUAGCAAAAUAUAAGUAAUUAAAUUGUGUUAAGAGCAAAUAAGAAAGUCUUUAUCUUAUGUGAUUGCCUAUCUUAUGAAUUUUUAAACCAAUAUCAUUAGAUGUUGAUAUUUUUCAAGGAAUGAAUUGAACUGAAUUGUUUGCAGAUCAGUCGAUGGGAAGUUUACACCAUACCAGGGACUGUUUGUACAGCUUCGUAAGCUACUGAUUAGUACGAAACAAAUGUCUUGUAUUUCAUUUCUACGUCAGUUUAUCAACAAAAGUAUAAAGUAUUUUGUUUGCAGAUGUUUAUUUAUUCUAAAUUUAUAUUAUUUAGUAUUUUAGUAAUGCUAACACAGGCUUUUUUUGUCAUUGUUUUUCAUAUAAAAUAUUUGUUUUUCAAACACGACAUGGGUAAAAGACCUAGAGAACGCCCUCACUUGCAACAGACGAGGUAAAAAGGAUUUACUGGUGGACGACAAACAUUUUGGUCACAAAAUAAAUUCAUCGAUGGCCAAUAUUGGUUACUUUGUAGAAGUUUCAAGAGCCAAGAUUGACAGAAACACCGAAUAAGAAGCAACAGGAAAACAGGAAACCAACAUGGCGAAAGAUAACCCAGAACUAGCUGCACAAGUACUUGAAAAACUGGGACUUUGAAGGAACGAGACAUCGAUGUGUGGGAUGUUGACUUUCAGAACAAGAUUGAACACUCAGUUAAACAAAAGAACUUUAACCCCGAAUCCUUAAUCCAUGGUUAAGACACAUGUAGUGUUGUAGUCUUGCCUUCAAACUGACAUGAACUGUUGUUGAUUCUCUGCAGAAAUGACCCUCGUACCUAUGGACGAAUAUCCGUAAGACCCCGCUGAGUGCAAACUCCUUUGUACUUAUUAAUGUAACAAUAUAAUCUUAUUUCCCAUAAACAUUUUUUUCCCAUUAAACUAAUAAAAAUAAUAAUCAAAACUC
rnacentral:lncRNA from 1 species